rnacentral:rRNA from 1 species
UACAGAGGGGGCAAGCGUUAUUCGGAAUUAUUGGGCGUAAAGGGCGCGUAGGCGGCCUGACAAGUGGAUGGUGAAAUCCCUCGGCUUAACCGAGGAACUGCCAUCCAGACUGUUUGGCUUGAGACCGGGAGAGGUGAGUGGAAUUCCCAGUGCAGCGGUGAAAUGCGUAGAUAUUGGGAGGAACACCAGUGGCGAAGGCGGCUCACUGGACCGGUACUGACGCUGAUGCGCGAAAGCGUGGGGAGCAAACGGG